UACGUAGGGUGCGAGCGUUGUCCGGAAUUAUUGGGCGUAAAGAGCUCGUAGGCGGUUUGUCGCGUCGGCUGGUGAAAAACCUGGGGCUCAACCCCCGGGGCCUGCAGCCGAUACGGGCAAACUAGAAUUCGGUAGGGGAGACUGGAAUUCCUGGUGUAGCGGUGAAAUGCGCAGAUAUCAGGAGGAACACCGGAGUGCGAAG
rnacentral:rRNA from 1 species